GACGUAGGGCGCGAGCGUUGUCCGGAUUUAUUGGGCGUAAAGGGCUCGUAGGCGGUCUGUCACGUCGGGAGUGAAAACUCAGGGCUUAACCCUGAGCCUGCUUCCGAUACGGGCAGACUAGAGGUAUGCAGGGGAGAACGGAAUUCCUGGUGUAGCGGUGAAAUGCGCAGAUAUCAGGAGGAACACCGGUGGCGAAGGCGGUUCUCUGGGCAUGUCCUGACGCUGAGGAGCGAAAGUGUGGGGAGCGAACAGG
rnacentral:rRNA from 1 species